GUUAAGUAAAAGAAGGGACCCCUCCUAUUUUAGUUAUAGCUAUAACUAAAAUAGGAGGGGCCCCUUCUUUUACUUAAC
rnacentral:pre_miRNA from 1 species